GCGCUCGUCGUCUAAUGGUUAUGAUGUCAGAUUCCUACGAAUAGGAACGCUCUGCUAUCUGAAGGUUCCGGGUUCGAGUCCCGGCGGGCGUA